rnacentral:rRNA from 1 species
UCUACGGGAGGCAGCAGUGGGGAAUCUUGCGCAAUGGGCGAAAGCCUGACGCAGCGACGCCGCGUGCGGGACGAAGGCCUUCGGGUCGUAAACCGCUUUCAGCAGGGACGAGGCGAAAGUGACGGUACCUGCAGAAGAAGCCCCGGCUAACUACGUGCCAGCAGCCGCGGUAAUA